GACCGUGAGAGUUAGAGAGUGGCCAGAGUAGACGCGAAGAUGGCGACGAUGUCAGCACAGACAAACAGACGUAACACUUGAGAACAUAUCAUCGACCAUGACUCUAACGACCAAUUUGAAUUUGAUUGAUUACGCGUUUCACAACUAGAGGCGCUAGCGUCGUAAUCCUUCGAGUUUGACAUUGCACUCUAGCGCCUUCUGGUGACAAUGUCAUACGAAACAUUGUUUCGUGCAACAUGCUCGCAAGAUGGUGGUACACUGAUAAAAAAUAUAUAGUAGCAACAAACACACAGUCAUGUUGAAGUUUACCAUGCACGAUAAUAGUACGCAUAACCUUAAUAUUUGUAUGAGUUACCACAUUAUUGUCCACGCUACUAUAUGCAUUGACAAUCUUGUACUACUGACUCCCAUGGUAAAUUCAACCGUAGCCUAUCUUCUACCACCGUGGGUGCCGUCGAACGGUGAUGAACGAAAACAACAAGCAGUUUUACGCGAUUUUUAAUUCGGAUCACGCUUUAUUAAUUUAUAAAUUAUAUAAAUUAGCGUUUUGGACCAAUAACAUAGAAAAACAAAACGAAGAUGGCUUCUGCUCGGCAUGCCCUUCCCUCGCCGCUUCCGUGUUACAUUUCUAAUGGAGAAUUGUAUCUGCGACAAUCGGAAUAUGAACGGCAGCAGCACUAUUAAACCAUUCAACUUUUCUGGAGUUAGCUAGCAAAAACUCGCCAUGUGCCACCAGUGCCAUAUUUUGGUAAUUAUGAUGGACAUGGAUUUAAGCUGACUAUUGAAUUGACAAUUCCGGUAUUUUCGUCAGUAUGGGAGAAUCAAAUGUUCUUCAUUCACACAGCAGAAUACUGAUGGAAGCGGCAGGGCCCUGUAAAGAAUGAACUAACUGGAAACUCCUGGUGGUACCAUGAAGGUUUGAUCCGUCUCUACUACUAGCAAAAACUCGCCAGAAUGCUUGGUAAUUCAUUAAAUUCUGAUAAUGCUGCUGUCGUUCAUAUUCGUUCAUGUUCAAAAAAUUUGAACACCUAUUUCGCAUUAAAAUAUGGUAAGCUGCAGAAAAUUUGUUGAAAAUAAAAUGGUUUAUUUUAGGUGAA